GGGAUUUAAUCCAGGGACUUGCUCAUUCUUGUUAUCCUUCAAAAAACAGUUUCAAGUUUGUGAAAGCAUUUUCUUGGUGGGUGGGUGUUUCUCUAGGGAUUAAACCCAGAGGCAUUUGACCAUUGAGCACAUCCCCAGUGUUUUUUAUUUCUGUUUAUUUAUAUAUUUUAAAUUUUGUUUUAGUAGUAGAUGUACAGAUUACCUAAUUUUGCUGAUUUUUUUUUUUGUAGUUCUAAUUUUCAAACCAAGUAUCUCACACAUGCUACUCAUGUGCUCUUUCACUGAGUGACAGCCUCUUUCCCCCAUUUUCAUUCUUGAUUAAGAGCAAGUCUCACUAUAUUUCUGAUGACUUUGCUAUGUUGCUGAGACUGGCUUCAGUGUUGUCAUCUUCUGGCCCUGACCCCCCUAAUUACUAAAAUUUGAAGUGCACACCACCACACCAGGAGUUAUAGUGACUUUUAAAGAUAAGUCACCCAU
rnacentral:lncRNA from 1 species